rnacentral:lncRNA from 10 species
GGAGAAGCCUCGGCCGGGGCGAGGGCCGAGGUCGUGACGGGCAUGACCGUCUCUCUGCUUGGUUAGGGCUGGCGCGAUCUCAGGCUCAAGUGGUCCUCCCACCUCAGUCUCCUGGAAAGCUAAGACUACAGGCACGCACCACCACGUCCAGUUAGCGUGUAUGUAUGUAUGUACGUACGUGUGUGUGUGUGUGUAUGUGUAUAUAUGUAACUCCUCCUCCCCUCCCCCCUCCCCUUCUCUUCUUUUCUUUCUAGAUGGGGUUUCGCCACGUUGCCCAGGACGGUUUUGAACUCCUGGGGCCAAGCGAUCUGCCUUCCUCGGCCUCCCAAAGUGCUGGGAUUGCAGGUGCGAGCCACUGCUCCUGGCCCAUAAGUCUUUCAGUGUAGAAGAGGGAAGCAGAAGAGGUCAAAGUGGUGCCAUGUGAGAGCUCAACCCACCCUUGCUGGAGGAAGGGAGCCAGAGCCAAGCUGGAAAAGGCAAGGAAACAACCUUUGUGAUUACAUUAGGCCCAUCCAGAUGAUCCAGGAUAAUUUAUUUUACAGUCAUCUGAUUAGCAACUUAAUUCUCUUCUGUCAUGUUAGGUAACAUAUUCAUAUGUUUCAGAGUGGUAGGCCAUUAUUCUACCUACCAUACCACCCAACACAAAUCUACAUUAAGACUAUAUCUGAGUGUUGCACAGGAAUCUAUGUCAACAAGCUUCCAGGAUGAUCCUGUGCAUCCUAUCUGAUGCAGCCCAGCAUCUGAGUACCAGAGACUAGCAUCUGGCUGUUAGGUUAGGAGAGAUCAGCUCAUGCACCAACAGGUAGUCAUGCUGGGACCAAAUGAUGAAGAUAGGUACAACUAGUCCCAGUGAGAGCUGGGGAAUUGGGCUGGGAUAAUAGAGGAUGUUAAGAAUGGAGUGUCCCCUCAACCCCAGAACUUUUUUUUCUUUUUUUGUGGUAAGGAGGGAGAAGGCUGUUUGGUAAGGAUGUUGUAAACUCUGAGAAAGCAAGAAUUUCAAAAGUCAAGGGUAGUAUUGGGGGGAAAAUCACUAGAAUUUGUGUGUGUGUACCCUAACUACUGUUUUGGUUUUGUUUUUGUUUUUUAGAAGGAGUCUCACUCUGUCGCCCAGGCUGGAGUGCAGUGGCAUGAUCUCAGCUC